rnacentral:rRNA from 1 species
AUUCGACCUGAGCUCAGGCAAGGCUACC